rnacentral:rRNA from 1 species
GAGUUUGAUCCUGGCUCAGAACGAACGCUGGCGGCGUGCCUAACACAUGCAAGUCGUGCGAGAAAGUUCCUUCGGGGACGAGUAAAGCGGCGCACGGGUGAGUAACACGUAGGUAAUCUGCCCUCGAGCUCGGAAUAACCUACCGAAAGGUGGGCUAAUACCGGAUAUGACCACGGGAGUUUCGGCUUCUGCGGUGAAAGGUGGCCUCUACUUGUAAGCUACCACUCAAGGAUGAGCCUGCGUACCAUUAGCUAGUUGGUGGGGUAAUGGCCCACCAAGGCUGUGAUGGUUAGCUGGUCUGAGAGGAUGGCCAGCCACACUGGGACUGAAACACGGCCCAGACUCCUACGGGAGGCAGCAGUGGGGGAUAUUGCGCAAUGGGCGAAAGCCUGACGCAGCGACGCCGCGUGGGUGAUGAAGGCCUUCGGGUCGUAAAGCCCUGUCGAGGGGGAAGAAUCGGUUGCGACCUAACACGUCGCAGCCCUGACGGUACCCCUAAAGGAAGCACCGGCUAACUCCGUGCCAGCAGCCGCGGUAAUACGGAGGGUGCGAGCGUUGUUCGGAAUCACUGGGCGUAAAGCGCGUGUAGGCGGCCCACUAAGUCUGAUGUGAAAGCCCGGGGCUCACCCCCGGAAGUGCAUUGGAAACUGGUGGACUCGAGUCCCGGAGAGGAGAGUGGAAUUCCUGGUGUAGCGGUGAAAUGCGUAGAUAUCAGGAGGAACACCGGUGGCGAAGGCGGCUCUCUGGACGGUGACUGACGCUGAGACGCGAAAGCGUGGGGAGCGAACAGGAUUAGAUACCCUGGUAGUCCACGCCGUAAACGAUGGGCACUAGGUGUGGGAGGUGUCGACUCCUCCCGUGCCGUCGCUAACGCACUAAGUACCCCGCCUGGGGAGUACGGCCGCAAGGCUAAAACUCAAAGGAAUUGACGGGGGCCCGCACAAGCAGCGGAGCAUGUGGUUUAAUUCGACGCAACGCGAAGAACCUUACCUGGGCUUGACAUGUUGGUGACCGCCGUGGAAACACGGUUUUCCUUCGGGACACCAUCACAGGUGGUGCAUGGCUGUCGUCAGCUCGUGUCGUGAGAUGUUGGGUUAAGUCCCGCAACGAGCGCAACCCCCGUUCCAUGUUGCCAGCAUUUAGUUGGGGACUCAUGGGAGACUGCCGGUGACAAACCGGAGGAAGGUGGGGAUGACGUCAAGUCAUCAUGCCCCUUAUGUCCAGGGCUACACACGUGCUACAUUGGCGCAUACAAAGGGCAGCAAUACCGCGAGGUGGAGCAAAUCCCAUAAAGUGCGCCUCGGUUCGGAUUGGAGGCUGAAACUCGCCUCCAUGAAGGUGGAGUUGCUAGUAAUCGCGGAUCAGCAAUGCCGCGGUGAUACGUUCCCGGGCCUUGCACACAC